rnacentral:rRNA from 1 species
GACGAACGCUGGCGGCGUGCUUAACACAUGCGAGUCGAACGGAAAGGCCCUGCUUUUGUGGGGUGCUCGAGUGGCGAACGGGUGAGUAACACGUGAGUAACCUGCCCUUGACUUUGGGAUAACUUCAGGAAACUGGGGCUAAUACCGGAUAGGAGCUCCUGCUGCAUGGUGGGGGUUGGAAAGUUUCGGCGGUUGGGGAUGGACUCGCGGCUUAUCAGCUUGUUGGUGGGGUAGUGGCCUACCAAGGCUUUGACGGGUAGCCGGCCUGAGAGGGUGACCGGCGACAUGAGGACUGAGAUACGGCCCAGACUCCUACGGGAGGCAGCAGUGGAGAAUAUUGCACAAUGGGCGGAAGCCUGAUACAGCGACGCCGCGUGCGUGAUGACGUCCUUCGAGUUGUAAACCGCUUUCUCCUGUGACGAAGCGUGAGUGACGGUAAUGGGUAAAAAAGCACCGGCUAACUACGUG